AAGUCGUAACAAGGUUUCCGUAGGUGAACCUGCGGAAGGAUCAUUAACACUAUAAACAAAUGCGAAAGCAUUUUCGGGAUUGAGUCUGCAAAGAUUCUUUUUCGAUUUUGCUUUUGCUGUCCAAACUUACCCAAACUUUAUUGAAAGUGCUGGUUUGAUUUUCUUGCGAAAAUCUAACUUUUUUCUUUCCAUUUUUUUUUUAACAAAACCCCAAAUCUUUCUUUGCUAAUGCAAAUGACAAUUACAAAAACUUCAAAAACUACUUUAACGUAACCAAACAACUCUUAGCAACGGAUAUCUUGGCUCUC
rnacentral:misc_RNA from 1 species